GUGAACCUGCGGAAGGAUCAUUGUCGAAACNUGCCCAGCAGACGACUCGCGAACCGUGGUUACAUUGCGCCGAGGGGCGACGGGGCCACUGCCCCCCGCCGUUCGGCAAAAGUCCCGGGAGGCACCGGAGGCAAACGCCUCGGGCGCCCGACGGGACUCACAACCAAACCCCGGCGCAGAACGCGCCAAGGAAAACGAAAUCGAGGAGGAUCGUCCCUGCGCUCCCGGAGACGGNGCGCGCUCGGACGGUCCGCCGGACAGUCACGAAUCAAAACGACUCUCGGCAACGGAUAUCUCGGCUCUCGCAUCGAUGAAGAACGUAGCAAAAUGCGAUACUUGGUGUGAAUUGCAGAAUCCCGUGAACCAUCGAGUCUUUGAACGCAAGUUGCGCCCGAAGCCUUCUGGCCGAGGGCACGUCUGCCUGGGUGUCACACAACGUUGUCCCACCACAAACCCAUCCCGAGAGGGAAGGGAGGGACGGAUGCUGGUCUCCCGUGAGUCCCCCCUCGCGGCUGGCCCAAACGCAUGUCCGCGAGACGGGAGCCGCGACUAACGGUGGUUGAACGACCCUCGGCUCAGGUCGUGGCCUCCCGUCCCGAGAGCGGGCAACAAGACCCCGCGCGUCGCUUGGAACGCCACAACUGCGACCCCAGGUCAGGCGGGACUACCCGCUGNNUUUAGCAUAUCA
rnacentral:rRNA from 1 species